UACGGAGGGGGCUAGCGUUGUUCGGAAUUACUGGGCGUAAAGCGCACGUAGGCGGCUUCGCAAGUCAGAGGUGAAAGCCCGGGGCUCAACCCCGGAACUGCCUUUGAGACUGCGUCGCUCGAAUCCGGGAGAGGCGGGUGGAAUUCCGAGUGUAGAGGUGAAAUUCGUAGAUAUUCGGAAGAACACCAGUGGCGAAGGCGGCUCACUGGACUGGUAUUGACGCUGAGGCGCGUAAGCUAGGGUAGCAAACGGG
rnacentral:rRNA from 1 species